GACGAACGCUGGCGGCGUGCUUAACACAUGCAAGUCGAACGGUAAGGCCCUUCGGGGUACACGAGUGGCGAACGGGUGAGUAACACGUGGGUGAUCUGCCCUGCACUUCGGGAUAAGCCUGGGAAACUGGGUCUAAUACCGGAUAGGACCCUGGGAUGCAUGUCCUGGGGGGGAAAGCUUUUGCGGUGUGGGAUGGGCCCGCGGCCUAGCAGCUUGUUGGUGGGGUGAUGGCCUACCAAGGCGACGACGGGUAGCCGGCCUGGGCGGGGGACCGGCCACACUGGGACUGAGAGACUGCCCAGACUCCUACGGGAGGCAGCCGUGGGGAAUAUUGAACAAUGGGCGCAAGCCUGAUGCAGCGACGCCGCGUGAGGGAUGACGGCCUUCGGGUUGUAAACCUCUUUCAGCACCGACGAAGCGCAAGUGACGGUAGGUGCAGAAGAAGGACCGGCCAACUACGUGCCAGCCGCCGCCGUAA
rnacentral:rRNA from 1 species